GAAACAGAGAAAACUGCACAAAGAUUCUUUACCUACAUUGAAUUUGCCUAAAUUUGUUUUAUUUUCGUUAUGCAAUACCGAGGUGGAACCUUUUAGAUCUGUGUCAUCCCUCACGUUUAGUGAAAUACCGGGGUGGUUGGAACUUGAUUUGGUCCAUCCUGUCAUCAACUGUUUUUCAAUGGGACGACUUCUGAACAUCAGAGAGAUCUUGACUGUCAAAAUACGUGAAUUAGGCCACUGAACUUUUCAAAACAAAACCAACACAGGUGAAAUAAUAUCUGAGCAUCUCCCUUGACAACAAAUUGAAGCACCCACUCUAAGACUUACAGGAAACGAUCUAUGAAAGCAAAACAAGGAGACAGGAUAUUCCGCGAUUCUGCACAAAACCCUAAAAGAAAUACCCCUCAUCAACAGGAUAGGUACCCUGUGUACACAUCUUCGACCAAAGAUAAUAUCCAGCUUACAGCGGAAACGCGAAAUUGCUCUGGAAUCAAUGAAGUUAGGAUAUACCGACGUCUUCAAAACCGAAAUAAGUACUGGGAGGUCUUCUCGAAUGACCUAAACAUAAGAAUAUCAACAACAUUAGAUAAGAAUUAAAUAAUAUCAGAUAGUGCAUCCGUACUGCAAGCGCUACAAAGCAAUACAUUGUCAUAAUGUUAUCAAAUUGUGUUUGAUGAAAUGUAUAGAAAUAGGCUAUUGAUGAAACUUUUGUCCGUGACGUGAGACAGAUUAUAACAUUUGUUGAGACCAAAAGCUAGUUAGCAGUCGAUCGUAACAGAAUAUUACUUGUUUAUUGCUUUACGAAUUUGAUAAUGAUAACACAGCAAAAAAAUAUUUCACCUAGUUACCUACCUAUAUGAAUAAUUUGUAAUAUUAUUUGUACCUAUGAUUUACCAAUGGCACUAUAAUAAACACGAUACAAUAAUUAA